rnacentral:tRNA from 1 species
GGAGGCGUCUGCGUUCCUGGUGGGCGUCCCGGUCUUCAAAACCGGUGAGGGCGAGCAGCUCGUCCUGGCGGGUUCGAUUCCCGUCCGCCUCCG